rnacentral:misc_RNA from 1 species
UGGCUCUCGCACCGAUGAAGAACGCAGCGAAAUGCGAUAAGUAAUGUGAAUUGCAGAAUUCAGUGAAUCAUCGAAUCUUUGAACGCACCUUGUGCCUUUUGGUAUUCCGAAAGGCACACCUGUUUGAGUGUCAUGAAUACUCAACCACUACAAAUGUGUAGUGGCUUGGAUCUUGAGUGUUGCUGUUUUUGACAGCUCAUUUGAAAUGCAUGAGCUGUCUCCUUUCCACUCGGAUUGACUCAACGUGAUAAGAUUUGUCGUUGGGGAUGCUUUGCAGCCGGAUGGUACUGGAGGGGGUAGCUACCAAUUUCUCUUAUGCUUUAGACCUCAAAUCAGGUGGGACUACCCGCUGA